ensembl:lncRNA
UGCGCAGUAAGAGACUGAUUUGCUUGGAAAAACCGAGGGAGCCAGAAGGAAAGAAGACAGGAGGAAAGAGAUGUAUCCAAGUCCAGGUGUGAGGUUCCAGUGCAGCCAAUGCCAGACAGUUUCCCUCCAGGGAGGAGCCAGAAGAAGCUUCUGCAGCGACUGGUACAAAUUUCAUCCCUGAGUGAAAGUAGCAGUUCCUCCUGAAGGUCAGAGAUCGCAGCAUCUGAGGGCCUCUUCAAAAGAAGACGUAGUUGAUGAAGGCGUUCUGGAGCAGGACCAGAAAGACCACGACCAAGCAGCCUUGAGAUCUUAGGCAGCGUCUCCCUCAGACCAAAGAACUACAGACUCUUCACAACCUGCUCAAACUCUUGGUACAGGACCUCACCACACGGGUCAAGAAGGUUUCCGUCUCAUUUCUACUCUGAAGCUCACCUUCUCC